UGACAGAGUUAGGGAGGGAGUGACUAGUGACAGAGUUAGGGAGGGAGUGACUAGUGACAGAGAGAGGGAUGGGGUGACUAGUGACAGUCACCCCCUCUCCUCUCACUCUGUCACUAGUCACCCCCUCUCCUCUCACUCUGUCACUAGUCACCCCCUCUCCUCUCACUCUGUCACUAGUCACCCCCUCUCUCACUCUGUCACUA